rnacentral:rRNA from 1 species
GAUGAACGCUGGCGGCGUGCCUAACACAUGCAAGUCGAGCGGUCUUCUUCGGAAGAGAGCGGCGGACGGGUGAGUAACGCGUGGGUAACCUGCCCUGUACACACGGAUAACAUACCGAAAGGUAUGCUAAUACGGGAUAACAUACUUUUAUCGCAUGGUAGAAGUAUCAAAGCUCCGGCGGUACAGGAUGGACCCGCGUCUGAUUAGCUAGUUGGUAAGGUAACGGCUUACCAAGGCGACGAUCAGUAGCCGACCUGAGAGGGUGAUCGGCCACAUUGGACCUGGGACACGGUCCAAACUCCUACGGGAGGCAGCAGUGGGGGAUAUUGCACAAUGGGCGAAAGCCUGAUGCAGCAACGCCGCGUGAGCGAUGAAGGCCUUCGGGUCGUAAAGCUCUGUCCUCAAGGAAGAUAAUGACGGUACUUGAGGAGGAAGCCCCGGCUAACUACGUGCCAGCAGCCGCUGUAAAAC